UGGCUCAGUGGUUAAGAGCACUGGAUGUACUUCCAGAAGUCUUGAGUUCAAUUCUCAU
rnacentral:tRNA from 1 species